rnacentral:lncRNA from 1 species
GUUAUAAUUUUAACAUUGUUUCUUCAACCUUUUGAUUUAAAUUAAAUUUAUAAUUUUGAAUCCGAUUAAGCCUGGUUCACAGGUUACAAAAAUUAUUAAAAAUAAUUUUGUUUUCUUGCAUAAAUUGUAAGUUUUUGCUACAUUUAGCUUCGCUUAAGCUCAUUUUACACUUCUAGAAAACUAUAGAAAAUAAAUAAUUGUUUUUUCCUUCAA